CCAUGAGAAAAGUACUUUAUUAAUCUUUCAGAAAUACAUUAGAAUGAAUCAAUUAUAGAUCUUCCAUUAAGAUAAUUAGAUUUUUUUUCAUAUUUGCACUAUGUAGAUGGCAAUAAACAUAAACCAAACAUUUUGAGAGUUACAGAGUCAUUUAGAUUUAUUAGGCAGGUGAAGUUCUUUAAAGGCAGGGAGAAAAAGAAUUUUAAAACAUUUAAUCAAUGACUAAAUAGUUUUUGGUUGUGGCGAUAAAACUUUCAAAGCAAGUACUUUGUUUAGAAAUUCAUUUAUUAUCUGAUUUUUUGAUGGAUUCUAAGAGACAUUGUAAAAUUCUCUUUGGGAAUAUCAAAAAUGCUGUAGUUUCAACAUGCCAAUUCAUUUUUUUUCAAUGUCUGUUGUUACAUACUUUAUGAAAAUAUGAUACUGUCAUUCAUCAGAUCACUUUCUAUAGGAGUCCAGGUUUCAGAUCUCCCUGUUUGGAUUAGCUUUUCUUUACUGGAAGUCCCUUAAG
rnacentral:lncRNA from 1 species